rnacentral:rRNA from 1 species
CCUACGGGAGGCAGCAGUGGGGAAUAUUGCACAAUGGGGGAAACCCUGAUGCAGCGACGCCGCGUGGGUGAAGAAGUAUUUCGGCAUGUAAAGCUCUAUCAGCAGGGAAGAAAAUGACGGUACCUGAUGAAGAAGCCCCGGCUAACUACGUGCCAGCAGCCGCGGUAAUACGUAGGGGGCAAGCGUUAUCCGGAUUUACUGGGUGUAAAGGGAGCGUAGACGGCAGCGCAAGCCUGGAGUGAAAUGCCGGGGCUUAACCCCGGGACUGCUUUGGGAACUGUGCAGCUAGAGUGCAGGAGAGGUAAGUGGAAUUCCUGGGGUAGCGGUGAAAUGCGUAGAUAUUAGGAGGAACACCAGUGGCGAAGGCGGCUUGCUGGACUGUAACUGACGUUGAGGCUCGAAAGCGUGGGGAGCAAACAGGAUUAGAUACCCCUGUAGUC